CGCCGCCGAAGGUUUCCGAGCGGGGGUCGCGCUGCUCCGGCGGCGUUUCCGGAGAUUGCCGAGGGGCUCCGGCCCCUCCCCAGCCGCCGCCGAGCCCGUGACCGAGGCGCUCCGGUGGGUCGGAGCCCGGCGCGCCCGCUGCUGCUCCGGUCGCGGCGCGGGGCUCGCCGCCCUCCUCCUUCUCCUCCCGCUGCUCCCAGUGCUCCCGCUCCUCCGGCAGCGCCGGGCGCCGCGGUGACAGAGCGGGGCGAUCGGGGCGGGGGGCGGCCGGGGCUCCGGCGGCGCGGAUGGCGGAGGGCGGCCAGCCCCCGCAGCAGCAGCAGCCACAGCCGCAGCUCCUGGCCGGCGGCGGCGCGGGGUCCGCCCGCGGCGUGAAGCGGGAGCCGGAGCUGGAGCAGCCCAUGCCCGGCGGGGACGGCGCGGAGGGCGGCCACAGCAAGCGGCUGCGGACGGAGGCGGAGGCCGACGGCGGCGGCAUGCAGAACGAGCCUCUGACUUCAGGUUAUCAUGGCUAUCCAGCAAGAGACAAUCAAGGUAACCAGGAGCCAUCAGCAACUCCUGAUGCAAUGGUGCAGCCAUUCACCACAAUCCCAUUUCCGCCACCCCCACAGAAUGGGAUUCCCACAGAGUAUGGGGUGCCACACACUCAGGACUAUGCAGGCCAGACCAGCGAGCACAAUCUGACGCUCUACGGAAGCACGCAGCCGCAUGGAGAGCAGAGCACGAACACGGCCAGCACGCAGAACGGAUCUCUUGCACAGACAGAAGGAGGGGCACAGACAGAUGGACAGCAAUCACAGACACAGAACAGUGAGAAUACUGAGAGCAAAUCCACUCCAAAACGACUUCAUGUGUCUAACAUUCCCUUCCGCUUUCGAGAUCCUGACCUUCGGCAGAUGUUUGGGCAAUUCGGCAAAAUCCUUGAUGUAGAGAUAAUCUUUAAUGAGCGUGGCUCGAAGGGAUUCGGGUUCGUAACUUUCGAGAAUAGUGCUGAUGCAGACAGGGCCAGGGAGAAAUUACACGGCACCGUGGUAGAGGGCCGUAAAAUCGAGGUUAACAAUGCCACUGCGAGAGUGAUGACCAAUAAGAAGAUGGUCACACCGUAUGCAAAUGGUUGGAAGUUGAGUCCUGUGGUUGGAGCGGUGUACGGCCCUGAGUUAUAUGCAGCGUCCAGCUUUCAAGCAGAUGUCUCGCUGGGCAAUGACGCCGCAGUGCCCCUGUCAGGAAGGGGGGGUAUUAACACUUACAUUCCUUUAAUCAUUCCAGGCUUCCCCUAUCCAACUGCAGCCACCACAGCCGCGGCGUUCCGGGGCGCCCAUCUGAGGGGCCGAGGAAGGACAGUGUACGGGGCAGUGCGGGCAGUACCUCCCACGGCCAUCCCUGCCUACCCAGGGAGCAGGUGGAGUAUCACUGCUAAAACACUCCUGGUCCUAGAUAGAGAACCCAGCAAUAAUAGUCUUACAGGAACCAAUCAUUAGCGCUAAAAUACCUCAGGGUGGAUAUGCAGCCUACAGAUAUGCACAGCCUGCUACUGCAACAGCAGCCACGGCCGCUGCAGCCGCUGCAGCAGCUUACAGCGAUGGUUAUGGCAGGGUGUACACAGCAGAUCCUUACCAUGCCCUUGCCCCUGCCGCUAGCUACGGAGUUGGCGCUGUGGCGAGUUUAUACCGAGGUGGCUACAGCCGAUUUGCCCCCUACUGAAGUGACGUGAGCCCCCUGCAAGCGGGACAGCCCCCCCAGUUCAUGAGGCCUGGCUAUUGCAAUAUUUACUAGUAGAGGAACUCUAUAGCAAGUCGAGGAGGAAAAACAAAAAAAAAAAACAAAAGAGAAAAUACUUUUUUAUACCUCACUAUGUUCUUCGAAUAUGUAUUUUUUUUCCUUUAAAUUUCUGCCUUUAAUUCUUUUGUUCCAAAGAUUGUGCUUUUUUUUGUUUGUUUGUUUUUUGUUUUCAUUUUUGGGGUUUUUUUAACUGUGGUAAAAAUAAUGCAUUUCCGUGUCUGUAUGUUGGUGCAUAGCUUAUCCUACCAAUCACGGAAAAGGCGAUUAGCGAUAAGGAAAGCUGUUAGAAACUGAUAUCAUGCAAUUAAUCAGGAACAUGCAGACAGAGUUACUUCCCUGGGUCUGGUGCUUGGUGCCUGUGAGACAGGAGGACGUGAGGGAGAAGUCUCCACCUGCCGUGUUUCUGGUCUGCAGAAGGAAGCACUCUUUGGCUGUGGCUGGGACCUGAAUGCUGGUGGGAAAUAGUCAUUUACGUUUGGAAAUGGGGGAAAUGCAGAGACUUUCUUUGUUUCUAUCACCAUCUGACGCACACAGGUUUGUGACAGUUUCAGCAGUGUCAGAACUUUAGACUUCGCAAGAGAAGAGUCCCUCAACCUGCCCAAAGACUUCAGCUGUUACCUGCUCUAUAGGGGAUAAGACUUUGAAAGGAGUUUUUGUUAAGGAUGAUCUUUUCCCCACACACAGAACUUCUACUCAGUGAUUUUUGUCCGCUGCAGGUGGCUGUAAUUGUCAUAGUUUUCAUUCCUCCUUUUGAAGAUCUUUCUCUCUUGCUGUCCCUUUCCACCCCUUCGUUCCUCGAGGAGUGGCGGAUGCAGUGCAGGAUCAUGCAGAGUACCUCUGUUGUGGACAGCAAGUGAUUCCUUGGGGAGGUGAAGCACCUGCAGCCUUGCAGAGGAAGAAAGCGAGCAGAAGAGUUGAGCGUGGCACAUGCUCUGAGGCCCAGUGUGCAGGGGUUCUGCCCCUGUUCAUCCUGGGCUGCUUAGGUGCUUCUGCAAGUAAUCUGUUUCAAAUAACAUGAGUGAGGAAAAACCAGUCAUGCAUAAGCUGCUUGAGGUGAGGGACAGGCAUGUGCAUUUGUGUGGGGGAAGAGGAUCUUUUAUAUCUACAUGUGAUCCUGAAGUAGUUUUGUAUCUGGCAGAAGCAGUUUGUGCAAGCUCUGAAUUCAUAGGAACUUCUUACCACAAGCUAUUUCAGGCCCUUCCAUAGCUGCGUUGGAGCCCCUGGGUUUGUUUUGCCCAGCUUCUCACAGAAUGUUGUGCACCUGGUCUGCUGAGUCCAUAUAGACACUACAUAUUAGAAGACUUGGAAGGAUAGAAACUAUUUAGCUGAGGGGUCCACGACUCCCAAGACCAUCUCCCUUCUGCUCUCACAGACAGAGAAUUCGCUGUGUUUCAAAGACAGCACACUCAGAUGACUGUAAGCUGUGAUGUGAUGGGAGUUGCUGCUCUCCAGGCUUCCCUGUUCAACUGCUGGCUCCUGGAGUGCUCCCAGUAAAGCCGGUGGUCAGAGGCAGGCUCUAAUCACAUGCUGGAGAGAUGCAGAAGUGUAAUUGUCCCGGGCUGCCUCGACUCCGUGGAUUGGUGCUGGGGUGAGCCACUGCCCUCAGAAGGGCAGCUCAGAGUUUGGAUUUGUUGGCAGAGCCUCUCCAGCUCCUGUUGAACACCUGCUUUUCCAUCCACCACUGAUACAGAAUAGGAGAACUCCUGCAUUUAACACUAAGCAACAUCAGCAAGCAGAGGUCUUGCUCCUGAGGGAGUGUCCUGGUCCAGCCACACACAACCACACGCUUUUUGCUCUUCCCCAGUGAUACAUGGAGCCUCUCUGUGCACAGCAGAGAUGGGAAGAAUGGGGACGCCAUUAGUUAAGCUUGAGACCCUGAAGCUAUUGAUUUUUCUGGAGGAAUAGCUAGAUAAAGGGGACACCAAACUGCCAGCCUGUUGGCCACCUUUUUUUUUUCCUGGUUUUAGUGUUGGUUUUUUACUUUCUUUUUUUCCCAAGCCAAAGUUUGGUUUGUUGCUGUUAUGACAAUUUUUUUGUUGUUUGUAUAUAAAUACUUUAGCUUGAAAAUAGGGAGGGGGAGAACAGGGUGUUGGGGCUUUCACAAAAUCUAGGAAACAAGGGAGACUUGGCAUGUUUGGGGGUUUUUACUGCCUGAGUUGGGGUAGAAGAGGGAGGACUUGUGGUAGAGAUAGUCAUAUUCAAGGGGAUUUAUUUCCACUGCAGAGCAGCCAGGGGACUUCUGGAGCUGGGAUGCAGCAAAAGCCUCUCUACUGGAUUUGUUCUCCCCACUGUGGAUGGAGGGCCCGAGCAAGGCCGUCCCUUCCCUUCCUGCAGGCAGUUCCUCAGGCUGUGAGCCAGGAGCAUCUGCAGAGCCCCGCUGGGGCAGCUGCUCCCCCCUGCCCCUCCCACAUUCAGUUCAGCUGGUUCUGACUGCAGCUCCCCAAAAGCCAGGUUCUCCCACCCUGAGUGCCCUCCCCUGCCCUGGCAGUGCCACCUGCAAUCCCCCCCUGCCACUUGGCCUCCCUGGGAAUAGGGAGGCCAGCCCCAUUUCUGCCUCCUGGCAGAGUCUAUGCAUGGCAGCUUCAGCCCGCCCAAGUAUAUUAGGAAUGUGAGGGGUUUAGUGCAGAAGCACCCAACUUUUGGGGGGCUGUGGUCCCCCAGUCUCCGAGUAAUACCUGUUCUAAGACCAUCCAGCCUGAUUCCUCCUGUAUCCGAGCCUGGCCUGCUCUGGUCCCUCCCUGGUGGGCUCCUCUGGUGCAUUAAGCAGCCAGUUCUCUGUGGCUCCAGAGUUAAUGCUGCAAGAUUCCCUCAGGGAGCUUGCUGAUAGCCUGGCAUCCUGCUCUCAGCACUGGCUGCAGAGGGGACACGGGGACACUUGCAUGGCUGGGGGCCAGAGGUAGCUCACUGGUUCCAGGUGUCCAAAGCACCAGACCUCCCAAAAACUUGCAUGGCAAGGUUUCUUGAGUGAGUGUUGUGCAUGACAGGAGAGCUCUUCAGCCUUUCUUCUCUGUUGGUGAACAACAGCUCGUUUCACUCUGAUGUGUUGUGAGCUGGCUAGAGAUGCUUUCAGAGUAGCCAAGGUGUGGCUGUAUCCAUCUCCUGAAGAAGUGAAGACAAAGCCUAUAUCUCCCUAUGCAAAAUUAAUUACGUUUAAUAAAUUGAACUGGGCCCUGGCUUACUAGAAUGAUGGCAUUAGUGCUUGUCCAUGCGAUGGGUCUGCAGUCACAGGUCCCUUGCAAAGCAGGGUUUGGCUUUCUGAGGGAACCCACACAGGCAGCCUGGCAAAUAGCUUGCUGUUUGUCACCUUCUGGUCUGGUGGCAUCUGGGAUUCCUCUUGAUGCAGAGAAAAAAAUGUAUCUAAGUGUAGCUGUUUGUGCUGUCUUGCAAUAGGUCCAGCCAGCACAUGAUGAUAUACAGAUUAAAUUUUGGUUUGAAGAGUUGGUUUAUUUAAUGUGCUGGUCUGUAUUUCCUUGCAGUUACAGCUGUGUUGGUAUAAAGUAACUAUUACUGGUAUAGCAUAUUCUCUACUGGGAAUAAGUUAUAUUGAUGCCCAGCACAUUAGCAAACUGUUGUCCUGGUCCCCAUGUGUGGGAGGCUGCACUGUUGUAGGUGGGUUAGCUUUUCUAAGAAAAGCCAUGACAGGACCUGGAGGCAAUGGGGAGCUCGGUAUGAGCCUGCUAUAGCCAGCUUUUCCCAGGUGAAGCAGUUAGGUGGGUCCUGUGUCAUGAGUUCAGAUAGACAAAGCCAUGUUUAAAGAUAGCUAUGGCUUGGCUGUUCCAGUGCCUGAGAGGGAGCAGACUUGCCCAGCGAGGAGCACUGGCUCUGCAGUGAGACCUGUGUUUCAGACAGGGCUCUGUCAGUGGCCCCUCGAGGGUCCCUGUGGGGCAGUCAUGUCGCUACUUUAGACUUCGCUUCCCUGUCCCUAAAGUGGAGUUGAAGUUUUUCCCUGUUCUUACCUGUUUUGAGAUCCAUGGAUAUGAAGUGUACAGCGAGAGCUGAGGAGGUUUUUCUGAGUAGCUGGCUUGAGUGCUGGCUGUGGAACGGUUAAUGAAGCCAUUUCCCUGCCUGAAGAGAGACACUGGCUGCUGGGCUUUCAGUUCCAGCACCCAGAGCUCUGUCAGUGGGGAAUACAAAGCAGAGCCUCCCAGUUCUACCCAUGUUUUUCCCCAGCCCAUCCCUAUCUGUAUCUUCCCAUCCUAGCCACAAAGAUGGAGGCAAGUGGAAAACAGGUUUGGGGAGCACUUAAGGAAUUUAAUAAAGGGAAACCCAAACAACAGCUCUGGGGAGUGCUUUUGCUGAAUCUAGCUCCAAAGGGAAAGCACAUAGGCAGCCUGGCAGAGGACCUGCUGCCUGUGACCCUCCAGCCUGGCAGGGUUGGGGGAAUGCUGUCCUUGGUGUAGAGGGGUGAUUUUUAAAGUGUUUUACCUGUUUGCACUGUUUUAAAAUAGGAGAGGGGGGGAAAAAACCAACCCAGUGAACAAGAUGAACAUCCAAUGUAAACUUCUUUGUGUUUUUAUUUUUGACAUGCUCUUGGAUAAUGUCAAACAUUUUGUAGUAUACACCAGUGAGACUUGAUUCUUUGUUGCAUAAAACACUAUUUUUGGUGAUGUUAAUGUCUGAAAAGCCUGUUCCCUACAUCCCCACCUUACGGAUUGCCCUCUCCACCCUCCAACCCCAGUAAACUUCUCUUCUACAAUGAAAACUCCAGUCAACAAGGCAAGCAGGAAUCUGAUAGCCAGAGCAUGAAAUGGGGCCCUUUGCAAGUAGGCUGUGGGGUUUCUGCCUGGUGUGCUUUGCUCCAGCCAGGAGCUGUCAGGAGAGCCCCCGUCCCUCUCGGGGUGGCCAAGUCCCAUCUCUGUUGCCACUGCUGGCCCUGGAAGACAGCUUCUUGCUGGGGCUGCCAGUGCUGCCCAUGGUUGUCUUUUUGAGGCCAUGGGCUGCAGCUGGGCCAGGCUUGUGCAGGUAACCAGCUUCCCAGGCUGCCUCUCAACUUGUGACAGAGCAGGAAGGCAUCAGCCAAAAUCCUUGCCUGAUUUCACCAGGAGAUUGCUGGUGUCUAAAGCCGUCCACCGAGAUACUCAUUUGGCUGGCAGUCAGAGUCAGCAAAAUGCCCAUUAAUCUUAGGAAUGUUUUUUCUUUCUAAAUUUUUGUUGAUGUUCUGAAGUGGGUCAAUAAAUCUCUUGCCAGAUUUCCAGUUCUCUGCUGGUGGAGAGGCUUCCUGCUUCUCUGAGGAGUAAAUUCCUUACAGAAAUCAGGCCUCCCACAUUAGUAGUCUCAGUUCUGGUCAUGUUUUUCUAUUUUUUUUCUGUUCACAGUAUUUUGUGUGUGCGAGUGUGUAGUUCUGGCAGCUCAGUUCGGCUGCAUUAUCAAGUGACAAAAUCGUCCUCUUUUACCCCAGGGGAUGUGAUUUGGUUUUGUUUUCUUUUCUUGGGUUUCUUUUUUGUUUGUUUGUUUGGGAUUUUUGUUAGGCUUUGUUUGGUUUUUGGUUUGGGUUUUUUUUUUUUAUAUGAUAAAUCCUGCUUGUAAAUAGCUGGAGCUAAAACCUGGGGCUGAUAGCAAAUGAGAACCAGGGCUAUAGAGUGAUACAGAGCUGGUGGAGUAUUUUACUGACCUCACAGGCUGAUCUCUUUGAGACUCGGAGAUUUUCAGUGCGAGGCUGAGAUGCCACAGCACCUCCAAUGGCAGCAACAGACUUGCCCCUUGUCGCAGUGUCCCCGGCACCUCCCGUUCCAGGUACCGCCGGGGAACAGGACGUGUCCCCAGUGGGACGCGUUCCCUUCCCCUGGAUCAUUUCCUAGGACGCCCGAGCCGCUUGCCCAGGGUCCCAUUUCCCUGCUGACUCUGGAGAAGCAGUAUCUGCAUCCCAGGGCUUUGUGACAGCCUUUAACUUCCCGCCCUCCCUCGUUAAGUAUCAUAUUGUAUAGUAGCUUUCAGACCAUACAGUAUUCAUUGGGUUAUUCCUAUUAUUAUCAAGUAGCUGGAAUUGUGAAGGUUGGAGUAGUUAGAUCUUUAGCUUUUAUUCCUUUUUUUUGUAUUACUAUCCAUGUGUAUAAAUUAUUGAUCAUGUUGCUGGCUUUUAUAAACUCUAAGCAAGGGGGGAAACCCUUCCUAACCCUUUGCAAAUGGUAAUGAAGCACUGUUUUUAAAUAAAAGAGAGAAACACCAG